CCCUGUGGCUCAGUUGGUAGAGCAUGCUGUUUGCAACGCCAGCAUGGUGUUUGCAACGCCAGGGUUGUGGGUUCGAUUCCCACUGGGG
rfam:Salmo salar isolate Sally breed double haploid chromosome ssa02, whole genome shotgun sequence.